rnacentral:lncRNA from 1 species
GAUGAGAGAGAGAGUGGCCCAGUCACUUCAUUGUUCCAGGCAACACGCAGUUAUCUUCCCCCAGCAUCUCUCCCUGUCCCCUGAGAUUUAAGCUGAGUGAAGGGCUUUCAGCAGUGAUUGAUUGAACUUCACAAGAGUCUAAUUAAUUCACCACAUUCCCCUGAACUUCUCAUGAGCUUAAGAAGCCUGGUCUCCCUCCUGGUGUUGCAGAAGUA